UAGAGCAGCCAUACCGCAUGUAGUUCAGACUAGGAUCCAUCUGAAGCUAAGCCGGUUUGGGCCUGGCCAGUAGUUGGGUUGGAAACCAACUAGAAAAGCAGAGUUGCUGCUGGAA
rnacentral:rRNA from 1 species